rnacentral:rRNA from 1 species
AUUGAACGCUGGCGGCAGGCCUAACACAUGCAAGUCGAACGAGUGGCGGACGGGUGAGUAAUGUCUGGGAAACUGCCUGAUGGGGGGGUAUAACUACUGGAAACAGUAGCUAAUACCGCAUACCAUCCGAUGUUCCCCGAUGGGAUUAGCUAGUUGGUGGUGUAACGUCUAACCAAGGCGACGAUCCCUAGCUGGUCUGAGAGGAUGACCAGCCACACUGGAACUGAGACACGGUCCAGACUCCUACGGUAGGCAGUAGUGGUGAAUAUUGCACAAGGGGCGCAAGCCUGAUGCAGCCAUGCCGCGUGUAUGAAGAAGGCCUUCGGGUUGUAAAGUACUUUCAGCGGGGAGGCGUUACCCGCAGAAGAAGCACCGGCUAACUCCGUGCCAGCAGCCGCGGUAAUAC